GGGUGUCAUAUAUUACUGAGGUUUGGGGAACAGUUCUUUAAUUCAUUUAAUUUAGAUCUAUUGAAUCCAUUUAAUUUAUCCUCAUACCAGUAACAGCAGCAUCAACUUGAAAUUUGUUAGAGCUGUAAAUUCUUCGGCCAGCCAGACCUGCUGAAUCAGAAACUCUGGGGUGUCUACCCAGUGACCUGGGUUUUAACAAGCACCCAGGUGACUCUGAUGCAUAAUGAAGUUUGAGAAAACUGCUCUAAUUCUUCCUCUUCUCCUCUUCUAGGCUCUCAUCCUCUCUUGAGUCUCUUUGACUACAAUCUCUCCACUCCCAAUUGUCGUUUAUACAGCUGUCAAAGGGCUCGUUCUAGAGCAUAUUUAUUAUGUCACGUUUCCUAAAGUACCUUAUACUUAUCCUCAAGUGGUCGUCAGGGUAAGCAUCAGGUAAGUAUUCACUCUGUGGUAAUGGCCACUAUUGUCAUCGUUCUCUGUAUCACUUUUGCCAUCAGCAGUAGCAUCCUCCAUUGAUCAAAUACUUAAUUACGAUUAUUUUGUUAAGUUUGGGAAAUCAUCCUCCUUUUUGGCAAACAUUCUCAAUAUACCAGCUUUUCUUGUAUUAGGCAUCUAGCUUACAACUUAUACUAAGAAUCUCAGGUAUGGCUGUUUCUGACUUUGAAGUAGGAGUGAGCAAUGUGGAGAAGCAGUGCUGAAUGUGGAGAAUUCAUGCUGGCAGUGAGACUGCAGCAACUACAGCUGCUAAUGGUAGGGCCAGCAUCCAGAGGUGUCUGUACAGAAGCUGUUAGCACAGUGCGGACAAAGGUGUCAUAUGAGGCUGAUUUGGGGGCUAAUUUGCUGUGGCUUAGGUUGUUUAGCUUCUCUUUCUUUGCCUGUGUUCUAUAUCUGAUUUUCUAGGUUUUUAGAGGAUUCCGUGAGUUACUCUUGCUUGAUCUGUUUAAAAAUGUGCUUGCUUUUCUUGGGCAUAAACAGCCAAUCACAGUGUCUCUUGCUUACAGUGAAGCAAUUGACCAGUGCAAGCCUCAAACUUUACUUCUAGAUUCAUCGCUUAUCACUUUCCUUCCCUGCAAACCUAAGGUUUCAACAGUCCUGGAGCAUUCACCAUUUCACAAAUACAUCACAUCAUUUUUUGUUUCUUUAUAUGCACUUAGAAUGCCCUGUCUGCCUGAGAAAUUCUUCUUGUCACCAUUUUGCCAGGUAAAAUCCUAUUUAUCCUUUAACACCCACUAAUUCUUGCCAAAAUUAAUUUCUCACUAUUGAUGAUUGGAUAUAUAAUGGGCAUCCUACUUGUAUUCUGAUCAAGAACACUGAAAUAAAACCCUGAGAUAUUUAGAAAAACACCUGACAAGAGUCUCAAAAACUUCUUUUAUCUAGUAGGUCAGUAGGACCCACCCCAUCCAUCAUUUCCAUAACUGACACUGCCUGCUUUCCUACUGGGGGAUUUAUAUCAUUUAGGCAUUAUAAUUGAGUAAAAGAUAAUAUAUGUUUUAGCAUCCUGGCAUAACUAGUCCAGGAUGAAAAUUAUUGAUAAAAGGAAACAAUGUAUAGUCAUUUGCCACAUAAGGAUGUUUAGGUUGAUGACAAACCACAUGUAUAACUGUGGACCCAUGAGAUUAUAGUAUUGUAUUUUCACCUUUUCUACAUUUAGUUAUGUUUAGAUGCACAAAUACUUACGAUUGUGUUAUAAUUGCCUACAGUAUUCACUACAGUAACAAGAUAUUCAAGUUUGUAACCCAAGAGCAAUAGUUUAUACCAUAUAGCCUGUAGCAUUGAGGUUUGUGUAAGUAUACUCCGAUGUUCACACAACAAAAUCACCUCAUGAUGGAUUUCUUAAAACACAUUCCUUUUGUAAACCAACACAUGACUGUAUAAACAAAGCCAUGAGGUCAACUUGUCUCAUAUUGUACUUAGGCCCAGUACUGCAUAUUGUGUGUGACCCUCUGAUGUGUAUUCUGCCCUCUCUCAUUUGUGUAUCAGCCAAGUGGUUUAGGGACUGACCCUAGUUCCAAACGUGUACCCUGAUUAGUUGGAGGCAGCAAUGAUUACUGAUGGUUUAGGAACUCAAACAUAAGCCAAUCCCACAUGAUAUUAUCCUUGGCUAAGUGAAAAGUUUGGCCCAAUAAAUUUUUGAUUAUCUGCCUACCUCAGCCACUUCCAUUUUAAAAUCUAUUUUUCUGGACACAAAAAGGAAACAAGGAACUUUAAUGACCAUCGUGAACCAAACUACAACACCAAGUUUAAAGUUACCAUGGUAGACAGUGAGGGACUGUGUUAAAGGAAAAAAACCUGUCUUUCCAGGUCCACAAAGGGUGUGAUUUCAAAGGCAAGAACUUCCCAGCGCCAUGUCUCCAUCCACCUCCCCAUCUGGGAACCUAGAGUUCUUUGUCUGACUUUCCCACAUGCCGGCCAGGUAAAAUUCCAGGGCCUCUCUCUGUUGCCCAGGCUGGAGCGCAGCGGCACAGUCAUGGUUCACCACAGCUUUGACCUCCAGGGCUCAAGGGCUUCUCCCACCUCAGCUCCUUGAGUAGCUGGGACUACAGAUAAGCACCAUCACACUCCAGUGAGGAGACAGAGGCCUGGAAGAAUGCAGUGCCUUUUUGCAGUUAUUCAUGUUUUAGGACCAUUCUUCUUUAUCAAGCUUUAGAACAAAAUCAUGGUAAGAUUUACUGCACUAUUCACCGUGCAAUAACCAAGCUUUGUAAGUGAAGUUAUAAAGACAGGUAACUUCACUCUUGAGGAAUGGUAUUAUUCAGACAGAAAUUUAUAUUAAUUAAAAAGUGGUUAAUAACACAAACAAGCAGAAAAAUAUAAGGAUGUCUUUCUCCAUUAACUGAAGUUUUAUAAAGGGAAAUUUCUGUAACUGACAUUCCUGUAUAUUUUUCUGUCACAGCUAACAGCAUGAGAAUGUUCCUGGCAAUGCUCUCCUGCUUCAGUAUUACUUAGAGCCACACCUGGACGUAGGCAAAAUAAGAAAGUGAAGAAGGCUUAUUUGUCCUAUGUGGAUCAUUCUGAUCAUUCUAAAUUAAAUGUUUGAUAUGGGGUAUAGAGACAUCUAGCUAUGGCAUAUUUAAAAUAUUAAAAGGAUUUAAGAUCUGAAAAGAUAGAAUCUCCUUGAGUUUAUCUUGUUCGUAUCUUUCCCCCACCCUCACACAUUUCCCAGCUGUUAUAAGAUGCAAUAGUUACCAAGAAAGAUGCUAGUGAAGGUUGGCUUAUAACAGAUUCUUAUGAAUAUCUCAAGCUCUGGCAGCAGUAAAUGGCUUCUUACUCAAUUCUCACAGAUUCUGAGUUCUCUGUCCCUAUGAAACCACAGCUGUAUGUGUCUUAGUUUACCUAACCCAAUAUCAACCAUAAUGGCUCAAAAAGAG